rnacentral:rRNA from 1 species
CACGUAGGGUGCGAGCGUUGUUCGGAGUUACUGGGCGUAAAGGGUGUGUAGGCGGUUGUUUAAGUUUGGUGUGAAAUCUCCCGGCUCAACUGGGAGGGUGCGCCGAAUACUGAAUGACUUCGAGUGCGGGAGAGGAGAGUGGAAUUCCUGGUGUAGCGGUGAAAUGCGUAGAUAUCAGGAGGAACACCGGUGGUGUAGACGGCUCUCUGGACCGUAACUGACGCUGAGACACGAAAGCGUGGGUAGCAAACAGG